rnacentral:rRNA from 1 species
UACGAAGGGGGCUAGCGUUGCUCGGAAUCACUGGGCGUAAAGGGUGCGUAGGCGGGUCUUUAAGUCAGGGGUGAAAUCCUGGAGCUCAACUCCAGAACUGCCUUUGAUACUGAAGAUCUUGAGUUCGGGAGAGGUGAGUGGAACUGCGAGUGUAGAGGUGAAAUUCGUAGAUAUUCGGAAGAACACCAGUGGCGAAGGCGGCUCACUGGACGACUGUUGACGCUGAGGUACGAAAGCGUGGGGAGCAAACAGG